AUACGUAGGUGGCAAGCGUUGUCCGGAUUUAUUGGGCGUAAAGCGAGCGCAGGCGGUUUCUUAAGUCUGAUGUGAAAGCCCCCGGCUCCACCGGGGAGGGUCAUUGGAAACUGGGAGACUUGAGUGCAGAAGAGGAGAGUGGAAUUCCAUGUGUAGCGGGGAAAUGCGUAGAUAUAUGGAGGAACACCAGUGGCGAAGGCGGCUCUCUGGUCUGUAACUGACGCUGAGGCUCGAAAGCGUGGGGAGCAAACAGGAUUAGAUACCCUGGUAGUCCACGCCGUAAACGAUGAGUGCUAAGUGUUGGAGGGUUUCCGCCCUUCAGUGCUGCAGCAAACGCAUUAAGCACUCCGCCUGGGGAGUACGACCGCAAGGUUGAAACUCAAAUGAAUUGACGGGG
rnacentral:rRNA from 1 species